UGAGCAAUCUGCCCUUCUCAUCGGAAUAAGCGUUGGAAACGACGUCUAAUGCCGAAUACGACCUCCUUUCGCAUGAUCGGAGGUGGAAAGCUCCGGCGGAGAAGGAUGAGCUCGCGGACUAUCAGCUAGUUGGUGUGGGUAAUGGCCCACCAAGGCGACGACGGGUAGCCGGCCUGAGAGGGUGACCGGCCACACUGGGACUGAGACACGGCCCAGACUCCUACGGGAGCAG
rnacentral:rRNA from 1 species